AUUGAACGCUGGCGGCAGGCUUAACACAUGCAAGUCGAGCGGGGUGAUGGUGCUUGCACUAUCACUUAGCGGCGGACGGGUGAGUAAUGCUUAGGAAUCUGCCUAUUAGUGGGGGACAACAUCUCGAAAGGGAUGCUAAUACCGCAUACGUCCUACGGGAGAAAGCAGGGGAUCACUUGUGACCUUGCGCUAAUAGAUGAGCCUAAGUCGGAUUAGCUAGUUGGUGGGGUAAAGGCCUACCAAGGCGACGAUCUGUAGCGGGUCUGAGAGGAUGAUCCGCCACACUGGGACUGAAACACGGCCCAGACUCCUACGGGAGGCAGAAGGGGGGAAUAUUGGACAAUGGGGGGAACCCUGAUCCAGCCAUGCCGCGUGUGUGAAGAAGGCCUUAUGGUUGUAAAGCACUUUAAGCGAGGAGGAGGCUCUUUUGGUUAAUACCCAGAAUGAGUGGACGUUACUCGCAGAAUAAGCACCGGCUAACUCUGUGCCAGCCGCCGCGGUAAAAC
rnacentral:rRNA from 1 species